UACGAAGGGGGCUAGCGUUGCUCGGAAUCACUGGGCGUAAAGCGCACGUAGGCGGAUCUUUAAGUCAGUGGUGAAAUCCCAAGGCUCAACCUUGGAACUGCCUUUGAUACUGGGGAUCUCGAGUCCGGAAGAGGUGAGUGGAACUGCGAGUGUAGAGGUGAAAUUCGUAGAUAUUCGCAGGAACACCAGUGGCGAAGGCGGCUCACUGGUCCGGUACUGACGCUGAGGUGCGAAAGCGUGGGGAGCAAACAGG
rnacentral:rRNA from 1 species